CAAGUAAAAAAGCCCGAUGAGUGAGGACGCGAAACCCGGGAAGCGACACAAGUGGUCAGACUGCACUGCAACACUCGGUCUGAGACUAACCAACCCUUACCCCACUCCCACUUUGCUUUGGUCCACGCCCCCAACUAACCAUGGUUAGUUUAUCCAGUCAGUCAGUCAAACUCAAACACCCAACACCUCCCUUUUUAAACCCUCCUCUUGCACCACAUCCCAUUCUUUAUUAUUACAGAACACAGAAGAAUUUUAGUUCGAGUGAACUAUGAUUACCAUUAUAAGGAAAGCACAUGUUGCUAUUUCCUUCAUAGACUCAACUACUGUGUAAAUUUGUUCUAUUGUUCUCAAUCUCUACUAAGCAAUAAUAAACUUUUUAACAUGAAAACAUCCUAUUUAAUGAAAAGAGCGUAUUGAUGUUACAUGUUGGAUCCUCCUCACCUAAUAAGGUGUUUCAGGAUGGUUGGAGCUGGAGAGGAUUAACAAAUGAAGGAUAUACUGUGUGUAAUACAUAUGCACUUCUGCAUAAUAAUCUCUUAUCACUGAAUUCUGAUUUGCUGAAAAUUUUGUGGAGUGUAGAGGCUCCGUCUAAGGUGUGCUCUUUUGGAUGGAGGGUUGUUUUGGAUAAGAUUUAGACACAAGAUGGGUUGUUAAAGAGGAAUGUUAUACAUGGAGCAGAUGCUUCAAUCUGCUGCUUCUAUCAUCAGCAUCUUGAGACAUUUGUGCUCCUUUUUUUGGGUGUAGUUUCUCAUACAAUGUAUGGCAACUGUGUUAUGAAUGGAUUGACACACAACAACCUUUGCAUAUGGACUGUAAGUAACAUUAUAUAUAUAUUGCAAAGUAGCAUUGGACAUUUGCUUAGGCAACACUACAAUUCAUCUUAUAACACAAGUGCCAAUAUUAUGUUUAAUCCACGCCAACUUAUUGCAUUAUGAAA